AGGAGGCAGCAGUGGGGAAUAUUGGACAAUGGGCGCAAGCCUGAUCCAGCCAUGCCGCGUGCAGGAUGAAGCAUCUAUGGUGUGUAAACUGCUUUUGUACGAGAAGAAACAUCCCUUCGUGAAGGGACUUGACGGUAUCGUAAGAAUAAGGAUCGGCUAACUCCGUGCCAGCAGCCGCGGUAAUACGGAGGAUCCAAGCGUUAUCCGGAAUCAUUGGGUUUAAAGGGUCCGUAGGCGGCCUUAUAAGUCAGUGGUGAAAUCUCCCGGCUCAACCGGGAAAUGGCCAUUGAUACUGUAGGGCUUGAAUUACUAGGAAGUAACUAGAAUAUGUAGUGUAGCGGUGAAAUGCUUAGAGAUUACAUGGAAUACCAAUUGCGAAGGCAGGUUACUACUAGUGGAUUGACGCUGAUGGACGAAAGCGUGGGUAGCGAACAGGAUUAGAUACCCCGGUAGC
rnacentral:rRNA from 1 species